UGAGGAAUAUUGGUCAAUGGGCGCAAGCCUGAACCAGCCAUGCCGCGUGCAGGGUGACGGUCCUAUGGAUUGUAAACUGCUUUUGUACGGGAAGAAACACUCCUACGUGUAGGAGCUUGACGGUACCGUAAGAAUAAGGAUCGGCUAACUCCGUGCCAGCAGCCGCGGUAAUACGGAGGAUCCAAGCGUUAUCCGGAAUCAUUGGGUUUAAAGGGUCCGUAGGCGGUUUAAUAAGUCAGUGGUGAAAGCCCAUCGCUUAACGAUGGAACGGCCAUUGAUACUGUUAGACUUGAAUUAGUGGGAAGUAACUAGAAUAUGUAGUGUAGCGGUGAAAUGCUUAGAUAUUACAUGGAAUACCGAUUGCGAAGGCAGGUUACUAUCACUAUAUUGACGCUGAUGGACGAAAGCGUGGGGAGCGAACAGGAUUAGAUACCCUGGUAGUCCACGCCGUAAACGAUGGAUACUAGCUGUUCGGAGCAAUCUGAGUGGCUAAG
rnacentral:rRNA from 1 species